AGAGUUUGAUCAUGGCUCAGAUUGAACGCUGGCGGCAUGCUUACACACGCAAGUCGAACGGCAGCACGGGGGCAACCCUGGUGGCGAGUGGCGAACGGGUGAGUAAUACAUCGGAACGUGUCCUGGAGUGGGGGGAUAGCCCGGCGAAAGCCGGAUUAAUACCGCAUACGCUCUGAGGAGGAAAGGGGGGGAUCUUUCGGGACCUCUCGCUCAAGGGGCGGCCGAUGGCAGAUUAGCUAGUUGGUGGGGUAAAGGCCUACCAAGGCGACGAUCUGUAGCUGGUCUGAGAGGACGACCAGCCACACUGGGACUGAGACACGGCCCAGACUCCUACGGGAGGCAGCAGUGGGGAAUUUUGGACAAUGGGCGCAAGCCUGAUCCAGCAAUGCCGCGUGUGUGAAGAAGGCCUUCGGGUUGUAAAGCACUUUUGUCCGGAAAGAAAACCUCUUGGUUAAUACCUGAGGGGGAUGACGGUACCGGAAGAAUAAGCACCGGCUAACUACGUGCCAGCAGCCGCGGUAAUACGUAGGGUGCAAGCGUUAAUCGGAAUUACUGGGCGUAAAGCGUGCGCAGGCGGUUCGCUAAGACAGAUGUGAAAUCCCCGGGCUUAACCUGGGAACUGCAUUUGUGACUGGCGGGCUAGAGUAUGGCAGAGGGGGGUAGAAUUCCCGUGUAGCAGUGAAAUGCGUAGGGAUGUGGAGGAAUACCGAUGGCGAAGGCAGCCCCCUGGGGCCAAUACUGACGCUCAUGCACGAAAGCGUGGGGAGCAAACAGGAUUAGAUACCCUAGUAGUCC
rnacentral:rRNA from 1 species